UACAGAGGUCCCGAGCGUUGUUCGGAUUCACUGGGCGUAAAGGGUGCGUAGGUGGCAUGGCCAGUUUGAUGUGAAAGCUCAGGGCUUAACCCUGAAAUGGCAUUGAAUACUGCUGUGCUGGAGGUUUGGAGGGGGGACUGGAAUUCUUGGUGUAGCAGUGAAAUGCGUAGAGAUGGGGGAGAACACUCGUGGCGAAGGCGGCCAGCUAGACCAGUUCUGACACUGAGGCGCGACAGCGUGGGGAGCAAACAGG
rnacentral:rRNA from 1 species